rnacentral:rRNA from 1 species
GCCUACGGGGGGCAGCAGUGGGGAAUAUUGCACAAUGGGGGAAACCCUGAUGCAGCGACGCCGCGUGAGUGAGGAAGUAUUUCGGUAUGUAAAGCUCUAUCAGCAGGGAAGAAAAUGACGGUACCUGACUAAGAAGCCCCGGCUAACUACGUGCCAGCAGCCGCGGUAAUACGUAGGAUGCGAGCGUUAUCCGGAUUUAUUGGGUUUAAAGGGUGCGCAGGCGGUCUGCUAAGUCAGCGGUCAAAGCCCGGGGCUCAACCCCGGCCCGCCGUUGAAACUGGCAGUCUCGAGUUGGAGAGAAGUAU